CCUACGGGGGGCAGCAGUCGAGAAUCAUUCACAAUGGGGGAAACCCUGAUGGUGCGACGCCGCGUGGGGGAAUGAAGGUCUUCGGAUUGUAAACCCCUGUCAUGUGGGAGCAAAUCAAAAAGAGAGUACCACAAGAGGAAGAGACGGCUAACUCUGGACCAGCAGCCGCGGUAAUACAGAGGUCUCAAGCGUUGUUCGGAAUCACUGGGCGUAAAGCGUGCGUAGGCUGUUUCGUGAGUCGUGUGUGAAAGGCGCGGGCUCAACCCGCGGACGGCACAUGAUACUGCGAGACUAGAGUAAGGGAGAGGGAACCGGAAUGCUCGGUGUAGCAGUGAAAUGCGUAGAUAUCGAGAGGAACACUCGUGGCGAAGGCGGGUUCCUGGACAUUAACUGACGCUGAGGCACGAAGGCCAGGGGAGCGAAAAGGAUUAGAUACCCGAGUAGUC
rnacentral:rRNA from 1 species